rnacentral:rRNA from 1 species
ACGCUCGACACCUACUGGAGGCAGCAGUGGGGAAUAUUGGGCAAUGGAGGCAACUCUGACCCAGCAACGCCGCGUGAAUGAUGAAGGUCUUCGGAUUGUAAAGUUCUGUGACGGGGGACGAACACAAUGACGGUACCCCGAUAGCAAGCCACGGCUAACUACGUGCCUGCAGCCGCGGUAAUCUGAGCGGGCUGGCAAGGC